CAAUGUGGAAUUCGCCCUUGUGCCAGCCGCCGCUGUAAUACGUAGGUGGCAAGCGUUGUCCGGAAUUAUUGGGCGUAAAGGGCUCGCAGGCGGUUUCUUAAGUCUGAUGUGAAAGCCCCCGGCUCAACCGGGGAGGGUCAUUGGAAACUGGGGAACUUGAGUGCAGAAGAGGAGAGUGGAAUUCCACGUGUAGCGGUGAAAUGCGUAGAGAUGUGGAGGAACACCAGUGGCGAAGGCGACUCUCUGGUCUGUAACUGACGCUGAGGAGCGAAAGCGUGGGGAGCGAACAGGAUUAGAUACCCUGGUAGUCCACGCCGUAAACGAUGAGUGCUAAGUGUUAGGGGGUUUCCGCCCCUUAGUGCUGCAGCUAACGCAUUAAGCACUCCGCCUGGGGAGUACGGUCGCAAGACUGAAACUCAAAGGAAUUGACGGGGGCCCGCACAAGCGGUGGAGCAUGUGGUUUAAUUCGAAGCAACGCGAAGAACCUUACCAGGUCUUGACAUCCUCUGACAAUCCUAGAGAUAGGACGUCCCCUUCGGGGGCAGAGUGACAGGUGGUGCAUGGUUGUCGUCAGCUCGUGUCGUGAGAUGUUGGGUUAAGUCCCGCAACGAGCGCAACCCUUGAUCUUAGUUGCCAGCAUUCAGUUGGGCACUCUAAGGUGACUGCCGGUGACAAACCGGAGGAAGGUGGGGAUGACGUCAAAUCAUCAUGCCCCUUAUGACCUGGGCUACACACGUGCUACAAUGG
rnacentral:rRNA from 1 species